rnacentral:rRNA from 1 species
UGAAUACGAGACGCUAAGGCGUCGAAGUAGUGUAUGUCAUACUUCCAAGAAAAGCUUGCACUGUCAUAGAUAAAAAACGCCUGUACCAUAACCGACACAGGUGGGUAGGUAGAGUAUACUAAGGGGCGCGAGAUAACUCUCUCUAAGGAACUCGGCAAAAUAACUCCGUAACUUCGGGAGAAGGAGUGCCUUAUUCGUAAGGUUGCAAUAACAAGAUCCAAGCAACUGUUUAUCAAAAACACAGGUCUCCGCUAAGUCGUAAGACGAUGUAUGGGGGCUGACGCCUGCCCAGUGCCAGAAGGUUAAAGAAGUUGGUUAGCAAUUGCGAAGCUGAUAACUGAAGCCCUGGUGAACGGCGGCCGUAACUAUAACGGUCCUAAGGUAGCGAAAUUCCUUGUCGGGUAAGUUCCGACCCGCACGAAAGGCGUAAUGAUUUGGAUACUGUCUCGGAGAGGGGCUCGGUGAAAUAGACUUGUCUGUGAAGAUGCGGACUACCUGCACCAGGACAGAAAGACCCUAUGAAGCUUUACUGUAACUUGAAAUUGAAAUUGGACUUUAUUCGCGCAGUAUAGGUGGGAGGCGUUGAUUAUAAUCUUGUGGGAUUAUUGGAGCCAUCAGUGAGAUACCACUCUUGUAAUGUUAGAUUUCUAACUUUGAAUCAUUAUCUGGUCAAAGAACAGUUUCAGGCGGGCAGUUUGACUGGGGCGGUCGCCUCCUAAACGGUAACGGAGGCGUACAAAGGUUUCCUCUGAACGGUUAGAAAUCGUAUCUAGAGUGUAAAGGCAUAAGGAAGCUUGACUGUGAGACCUACAAGUCGAGCAGGGACGAAAGUCGGUCUUAGUGAUCUGACGGUACUGAGUGGAAAGGCCGUCACUCAACGGAUAAAAGUUACUCUAAGGAUAACAGGCUGAUCUCCCCCAAGAGUUCACAUCGACGGGGAGGUUUGGCACCUCGAUGUCGGCUCAUCGCAUCCUGGGGCGGUAGUACGUCCCAAGGGUUGGGCUGUUCGCCCACGAAAGCGGUACGCGAGCUGGGUUCAGAACGUCGUGAGACAGUUCGGUCCAUAUCCGGUGUAGGCGUUAGAAUAUUGAGAGGAGCCUUCUUUAGUACGAGAGGACCGAGAAGGACAUACCCCUGGUGUACCAGUUAUCGUGCCAACGGUAAACGCUGGGUAGCUAUGUAUGGAGUGGAUAACCGCUGAAAGCAUCUAAGUGGGAAGCCCACCUCAAGAUAAGUAUUCUCAUC